AGCGUACACGGUGGAUGCCCUGGCAGUCAGAGGCGAUGAAGGACGUGCUAAUCUGCGAUAAGCGUCGGUAAGGUGAUAUGAACCGUUAUAACCGGCGAUUUCCGAAUGGGGAAACCCAGUGUGUUUCGACACACUAUCAUUAACUGAAUCCAUAGGUUAAUGAGGCGAACCGGGGGAACUGAAACAUCUAAGUACCCCGAGGAAAAGAAAUCAACCGAGAUUCCCCCAGUAGCGGCGAGCGAACGGGGAGCAGCCCAGAGCCUGAAUCAGUGUGUGUGUUAGUGGAAGCGUCUGGAAAGGCGCGCGAUACAGGGUGACAGCCCCGUACACAAAAAUGCACAUGCUGUGAGCUCGAUGAGUAGGGCGGGACACGUGGUAUCCUGUCUGAAUAUGGGGGGACCAUCCUCCAAGGCUAAAUACUCCUGACUGACCGAUAGUGAACCAGUACCGUGAGGGAAAGGCGAAAAGAACCCCGGCGAGGGGAGUGAAAAAGAACCUGAAACCGUGUACGUACAAGCAGUGGGAGCACGCUUAGGCGUGUGACUGCGUACCUUUUGUAUAAUGGGUCAGCGACUUAUAUUCUGUAGCAAGGUUAACCGAAUAGGGGAGCCGAAGGGAAACCGAGUCUUAACUGGGCGUUAAGUUGCAGGGUAUAGACCCGAAACCCGGUGAUCUAGCCAUGGGCAGGUUGAAGGUUGGGUAACACUAACUGGAGGACCGAACCGACUAAUGUUGAAAAAUUAGCGGAUGACUUGUGGCUGGGGGUGAAAGGCCAAUCAAACCGGGAGAUAGCUGGUUCUCCCCGAAAGCUAUUUAGGUAGCGCCUCGUGAAUUCAUCUCCGGGGGUAGAGCACUGUUUCGGCAAGGGGGUCAUCCCGACUUACCAACCCGAUGCAAACUGCGAAUACCGGAGAAUGUUAUCACGGGAGACACACGGCGGGUGCUAACGUCCGUCGUGAAGAGGGAAACAACCCAGACCGCCAGCUAAGGUCCCAAAGUCAUGGUUAAGUGGGAAACGAUGUGGGAAGGCCCAGACAGCCAGGAUGUUGGCUUAGAAGCAGCCAUCAUUUAAAGAAAGCGUAAUAGCUCACUGGUCGAGUCGGCCUGCGCGGAAGAUGUAACGGGGCUAAACCAUGCACCGAAGCUGCGGCAGCGACGCUUAUGCGUUGUUGGGUAGGGGAGCGUUCUGUAAGCCUGUGAAGGUGUGCUGUGAGGCAUGCUGGAGGUAUCAGAAGUGCGAAUGCUGACAUAAGUAACGAUAAAGCGGGUGAAAAGCCCGCUCGCCGGAAGACCAAGGGUUCCUGUCCAACGUUAAUCGGGGCAGGGUGAGUCGACCCCUAAGGCGAGGCCGAAAGGCGUAGUCGAUGGGAAACAGGUUAAUAUUCCUGUACUUGGUGUUACUGCGAAGGGGGGACGGAGAAGGCUAUGUUGGCCGGGCGACGGUUGUCCCGGUUUAAGCGUGUAGGCUGGUUUUCCAGGCAAAUCCGGAAAAUCAAGGCUGAGGCGUGAUGACGAGGCACUACGGUGCUGAAGCAACAAAUGCCCUGCUUCCAGGAAAAGCCUCUAAGCAUCAGGUAACAUCAAAUCGUACCCCAAACCGACACAGGUGGUCAGGUAGAGAAUACCAAGGCGCUUGAGAGAACUCGGGUGAAGGAACUAGGCAAAAUGGUGCCGUAACUUCGGGAGAAGGCACGCUGAUAUGUAGGUGAAGCGACUUGCUCGUGGAGCUGAAAUCAGUCGAAGAUACCAGCUGGCUGCAACUGUUUAUUAAAAACACAGCACUGUGCAAACACGAAAGUGGACGUAUACGGUGUGACGCCUGCCCGGUGCCGGAAGGUUAAUUGAUGGGGUCAGCGCAAGCGAAGCUCUUGAUCGAAGCCCCGGUAAACGGCGGCCGUAACUAUAACGGUCCUAAGGUAGCGAAAUUCCUUGUCGGGUAAGUUCCGACCUGCACGAAUGGCGUAAUGAUGGCCAGGCUGUCUCCACCCGAGACUCAGUGAAAUUGAACUCGCUGUGAAGAUGCAGUGUACCCGCGGCAAGACGGAAAGACCCCGUGAACCUUUACUAUAGCUUGACACUGAACAUUGAGCCUUGAUGUGUAGGAUAGGUGGGAGGCUUAGAAGUGUGGACGCCAGUCUGCAUGGAGCCGACCUUGAAAUACCACCCUUUAAUGUUUGAUGUUCUAACGUUGACCCGUAAUCCGGGUUGCGGACAGUGUCUGGUGGGUAGUUUGACUGGGGCGGUCUCCUCCUAAAGAGUAACGGAGGAGCACGAAGGUUGGCUAAUCCUGGUCGGACAUCAGGAGGUUAGUGCAAUGGCAUAAGCCAGCUUGACUGCGAGCGUGACGGCGCGAGCAGGUGCGAAAGCAGGUCAUAGUGAUCCGGUGGUUCUGAAUGGAAGGGCCAUCGCUCAACGGAUAAAAGGUACUCCGGGGAUAACAGGCUGAUACCGCCCAAGAGUUCAUAUCGACGGCGGUGUUUGGCACCUCGAUGUCGGCUCAUCACAUCCUGGGGCUGAAGUAGGUCCCAAGGGUAUGGCUGUUCGCCAUUUAAAGUGGUACGCGAGCUGGGUUUAGAACGUCGUGAGACAGUUCGGUCCCUAUCUGCCGUGGGCGCUGGAGAACUGAGGGGGGCUGCUCCUAGUACGAGAGGACCGGAGUGGACGCAUCACUGGUGUUCGGGUUGUCAUGCCAAUGGCACUGCCCGGUAGCUAAAUGCGGAAGAGAUAAGUGCUGAAAGCAUCUAAGCACGAAACUUGCCCCGAGAUGAGUUCUCCCUGACUCCUUGA
rnacentral:rRNA from 1 species